rnacentral:misc_RNA from 1 species
GCGUCAAAAACAGCCGUUUUAAUAUUGGAACGCCGGUUCGAAAUUUAAAAUACCCGCGCUUCAAUUUAGUAGUUGAACGAAAUUGGUGGUUCGAAUUUUUUUUUUGUUUAAUUUUGAAAAAGCAAUGUGUUUCUUUAAUAAAAUUUUGGAUGAAAUUAAAAUUGUUCUACAGUAAUAAAUUUUGUUACAGACAGUCAGUGCCAGUGUAGUGAUGUGCUAGUGCCAUUAUGGAGCCAUCGUUGCCACUCGAAGAAGAUGAGGGCAGGCCCCAGCAAGGCUCUACAGGCAGCGGUUCGUCCUCUGGCACGGGCUAUUAUGGACACAGAAAUGGU